CUCGAAGCAGCCGCCAUUUAACGAUACGCGCUCGUGAGAUUCAGACGUUUGCUUCAUAUCGCUGUCGACUAUUGUUUAAAACUCAUAUUAUAUUUCGAAAAGGGCUCUUUUAAAAUAGUCUCUUUUUAAGCAUAUAAACAUUUAUUUCGGUGGAUAGGAGAGAUUAUUUGAAUAUUUGUACUGAAGUAGGUGUUCCUGGUUUAAUCUCGCUAGAGGAGCAUCGAGCGUUUUUCCUCAUAUUCGAUCGUCUUCAGUUGGACCAAGUCAGCUUUGACGAUUUAAUCAUGAAGGAGGAGGGCAGCCCCAGCCGUCGCGGUGAAGGUCUCCAACUUAUCUUUGAUCAAAAAGCCCCGUCAAGCCGCAGCUCCUCUCGCUCCAGCAGCAGCGACAGCUCUGCCUCCAGCAGUACAGGAAGCCGCUCCUCCCGUGGGUCACGGAGGUCAUCACGAAACCGCCGUAGAUCUCGUUCCUCCUCGUCCUCAGACAGUAACUCAUCCUCACGCUCUCGUUCCCGCUCUCACCCACGCUGUCACCGGGUUUCCAGCCGCUCGCGCUGCCGCCAUCGACACUAUUCUCCCCCACGCCGUUACCGGGCUCGCUCCCGCUCCUACAGCCGAUCUCCUGAUCGCUCCCGCAGACGCUAUCGUCGCCGGAGUCCCUCCAGCUCUCGCAGUCGCUCACCGCCUUCUUACGGCUACUCCCGACGCUCUCCAUCUCGCUCACCUGUCUGGAGGGGCAGCAGAUUCGUGGGGAGGUAUCGGUGCCGAUUCUCCCGUUCACCGGACAGGUACAGAGUUUACAGAAGCCGCUCCCGAAGCCAGGAACGAGGUGGCAUUCGUCUCAGUCUGGCAGAGAAGAAGUAUCUAUUGGACGUCGCCAAAGCAAAUGCUGCCAGGAUCCUGGGAGUGCAAAACUUUGAGUUGCCAGCUAGCUUGAAGGAGCAGGAAGAGCGAUCCUCAUCGGUUAAAGAGGAAAAGGUCAGGGCUGAUCCAGUACCACAAAAAACACAGGUGAGCAUCAAACACAUGACUAAAGAUACAGCAGUUUGUCAUCAUAUGCAUGUUAGAGGUUCGUAACAUUUGCAUGAAUGUCCUGAGUGUUCCGGUUAAAAAGUACAAUCCAUUAAGUGGGAAUUUCCAUAUUUCUAUGAUCUCGGGACGUUGACUAACUCAAUGAAACACAACAUAAAAUGUACUGCGCAUCAACUUGGGUCACCAUGUAAUCUGUCUCCUCAGACAUGAAUGAUUUUGCCUGAUGGAUUUAAUGGAAUGAUGAACAGCUCAUGUCCGGAUUAGGUAACAGUACACGCUGAAGAAACUGAACUCCUCCACCCUUUGGACAAAGAGGGAAAGGGGGUGAAUGACACCAACUUUAAAUCUUUAAUUCACAACUGCAAAGGUUAAGUAAAUGCGUAUGAUGUCGACCGUAGCAUUGUGUACAUUUAACAUGUAAACGCAUAUCUGUGAUUUACCUCGCAUCUCAGCCACGUCUACACAACAGCACAUGAUACUUUACAACAGAAACUGUUUUCAGAUGGUUGAACUGGAUUGCGUUCUUAUUUACCAGAGUCUUCCUCCAUUUGAUGUCUAUGAAGACCAGAGAGAGCUUACACUACUAGUGAUGGAUGGGGUUUGGAAAAAUGCAUCGCUCUCAGCCAAGUUGCUUUUCUUUAUUUGGCUUUGUCUACAAUUAUUAUAAAAUACAAUUAUUUGCUUCAUUAAACUUAUGUACUUUAAAAUGAUUUAAUUUAUAAAGGUCAGAUAGGAUUUUAAGUAUUUUGUUAUUGUAGUGUGAUCAGAAUCUGCCUCACUUUUGUGUGGAUUCACACAUUCAUGUUUAUGCAUUGAAUUGUGAAGAACUUAAAAA